GCGAAGGCCCAAGAGGCAGAAUCAUCUUCUCCUCGCGUUGAUCGUGGAAUCUUAGUCCGAUUUUUGAUUGGUUACAAGUCUUCUAGUAUCUCUUGAUUCUUUGCCACCUAACAUCUAGGGGAAAUGUUAAAAAUGAAACCUUAAUUUGUUUUGUUUAGUGUAUUGAAGUAAAGUUUUAAAUUCUUAGAUUGUUCCGCAAUUACGAUAGUCCUGUCUAAUAAAAUUUAGAAAUUAUUGAUGUAUUACUUAUUAAAUUUUCUAUCAUGUAAUAUAUUAAUACGGGCCUAGAGAACUAUUAUUUAUAUUAA